rnacentral:rRNA from 1 species
AGUACGGUCGCAAGAUUAAAACUCAAAGGAAUUGACGGGGACCCGCACAAGCGGUGGAUGAUGUGGAUUAAUUCGAUGCAACGCGAAAAACCUUACCUACCCUUGACAUGCCACUAACGAAGUAGAGAUACAUUAGGUGCCCGUAAGGGAAAGUGGACACAGGUGCUGCAUGGCUGUCGUCAGCUCGUGUCGUGAGAUGUUGGGUUAAGUCCCGCAACGAGCGCAACCCUUGUCUCUAGUUGCUACGCAAGAGCACUCUAGAGAGACUGCCGGUGACAAACCGGAGGAAGGUGGGGAUGACGUCAAGUCCUCAUGGCCCUUAUGGGUAGGGCUUCACACGCCAUACAAUGGUGCAUACAGAGGGUUGCCAACCCGCGAGGGGGAGCUAAUCUCAGAAAAUGCAUCGUAGUCCGGAUCGUAGUCUGCAACUCGACUACGUGAAGCUGGAAUCGCUAGUAAUCGCGGAUCAGAAUGUCGCGGUGAAUACGUUCCCGGGUCUUGUACACACCGCCCGUCACACCAUGGGAGUGGGUUUUGCCAGAAGCCGUUAGCCUAACCGCAAGGAGGGCGACGACCACGGCAGGGUUCAUGACUGGGGUG